rnacentral:rRNA from 1 species
GAUGAACGCUGGCGGCGUGCCUAAUACAUGCAAGUCGAGCGAACGGACGAGAAGCUUGCUUGUCUGAUGUUAGCGGCGGACGGGAGGGUAACACGUGGAUAACCUACCUAUAAGACUGGGAUAAUUUCGGGAAACGGGCGCUAAUAGCGGAUAAUAUUUUGAAACGCGUGGUUCAAAAGUGAGAUACGGUCUUUCUGGAACUAAUGGCUGGAUACGCGCUGGAGUAGUAAGUGGGUGAGGUCACGGGUUACCAAGGCAAGGAGGCAUAGCCGACCUGAGAGGGUGGUCGCCCACACGGGAACUGAGACACGCCCCAGACGCCUACGGUAGGCAGCAGUCGGGAAUCGUACGCAAUGGGGGAAAGCCUGACGGAGCGACGCGGCGUGAGUGAUGACGGUCUCCGGAUCGGAAAACGCUGUUAUUAGGGGAAAACAUAUGUGUAAGUAACUGUGCAGAUCUUGACGGUACCGGAUCAGAAAGCCACGGCUAACUACGUG